rnacentral:rRNA from 1 species
CAGAGGGUGCAAGCGUUGUUCGGAAUCACUGGGCGUAAAGCGCGCGCAGGCGGACUUGUGCGUCUGGAGUGAAAUUUCGCCGCUCAACGGCGAAGCUGCUCUGGAUACGGCAAAUCUAGGGACCGGUAGAGGCUGGUAGAAUUGCAGGUGUAGCGGUGGAAUGCGUAGAGAUCUGCAAGAAUACCCGUGGCGAAGGCGGCCAGCUGGGCCGGAUCCGACGCUGAGGCGCGAAAGCGUGGGGAGCAAACAGGAUUAGAUACCCUGGUAGUCCACGCCGUAAACGAUGGGCACUAGGUGCCGGGGGGAGCGACCCCCUCGGUGCCGCAGCUAACGCGAUAAGUGCCCCGCCUGGGGAGUACGGCCGCAAGGCUG